ACGUGUACCGCACGCCUUCCCCUGUUCUCGGAUGAUCUAUUCCAUCGAUGGAUUAAGAACAAGGGAGAAUUGCCCUCGAGUCGGCUCGCCUGUUGCUCUCCGAUCGGCGCUUCCCACCAAACGAAGCGAUCAUGUCGUCCAAACAAGGGUUGAUUCAGGUGGGAAGUUGAAGCCCUUGAAGCAGCCUAAAUCCGAAAAGAAGGAAUACGACGAGGUAUGUGCGCCUUCUUGAUACGAUCUAUCAUGCUACCACUCUUUGAUUCGGUUAUUAAGAUUUGUAGGUGCUUGAAGUAUUCGGAAUGAAUGGAUGGGCGGCGAGUUUUUUAUUGCUUGCUUAAUUUCGAAGUUGUGGGUGUCUCUAGUUCUUAUGAUCUUAUGAAUCUUACUGUCUUGUUAUAUGAAUUAACUCUCCCUUUGAAAAUCGACCAAGUUCAAUGAAUCUGCUCACCAGACCAUCUAUUAAUAAACAGCCUUAACUUUCUUUAGGGAAAUGAUUUUGACUUGUUUUAAAAUAGGCUGGAAAGUUAAGAAUCUUAAGUUUUUUCAAUUUAUAAAGACACGCCCUAUAACUCUUUAGCAAUCAAUUCGGGCUAUUCAAUCAAGUUGGGCCAUUUGCAGGAAUGAGUUUGCAACUCAUUUGGCUUAUGGCUGUCAUAUUUGAGAGGUCUGGAUUUAAGGUUAAGGGACAAGUAUUGUGGACUGUAGAGAAUACUAUAGAAUCAACAAGAUUUACACGAGCUGAUGGUAGCAAAUAAGGCACUCCCAUGUCAUAUAUGCAAUUGGUAAAUAGAUGCCAACUCAGUCAACUAAAAUGUCAAUUGAGGUUUUGCUUAUUUCUAUUUAUCUUAGUAUCUGGUGUUCAAGUGAAAAAUAAAUCAUCUAGCCAGACUUUUCAUGAGCUGCAUUAUCAUUCUUUUAUGAUGCAUCUGAAGGCACUUCUUCUCACUCUCUCCUUUGUCAUCUCCCUUCUCGCCAAUUAAAGUAUUACAACUGAAGGAUAUAUUUUAUCACGUAUGCAGCUUAAUGGAAAUUGGCUAUUGAUAUCUUCGAUCUGUUUGCCUUUGGAGUUUAGUGGUAAUUCUUGUUUUCAAAGAAAUAAUUGGAUAGGUUUCAUGUGUGUCUUGAUGAACUUGGUUGUAACAAUUUUUCCUAGAGGAUUUGUUACUUUUUGGGCUUAAGGGGCACAGACAUAUCUUCACCAAAGCAGUGGCUCACUUUAUUUUCAGAUAUGCUUCCUUGGUUUCUUGGUGCCAGAAGUUUGCAUGCAAUUGUGCUGUUAUAGUAAUUUAUUAAUUGAGAUUUUUUACUCCUUUCUUUGGAUUAUCUUAGGCUCUUUGAAACUUGUGUAUCUUCACAUUGUAAAAACUCAAACUGAAUUCCGUAGAACCAUAUAGAUAUCCAACAUUAAUGAGAAGUAACCAUCUUGUGAAGCCAUCUCUUCAACAUGCUGACACGUCGGUGGAGAUGGAAAUAUAUAGCUUAAGUCUGUUAAUACUAUACCAUAAACUUUGUAUACUGUUAGACUUUCUUAAAGAAUUUGCUUUAGACGUGCUAUUCAAUUGCCAAUUCAAUCAUAAGCUUCUAAAAUAAUGUAGUAUAGUUGUAAAGCAUUGUUGUUACUUCUAAAACAUGUUUUCCUCGAUGUGAGAACUAGCCUUUCAAAAAUAUUUAAAGCACAACGCUGCCUAAUCUUAAAAUUGCCUCUGGUAUUAACAUAAUCAAAGGCCUAAGCCCUAGAAAAUUGGACCCAUGGUUUCUCUGCAAUCUUUUACCAUACCAAAGGAGGAUACCUUGUUAUGUUCUUCCUCCCAUUUUCAUGCCUACUUCAGUUUUCUUCAACUUGUAAAAUGCAAAUAUGAUGUAUUAGUUGUCUAGUUUUUUAGGCUGUGGUAAAAUAUCUGCCUCUUGACUAAUGUGAUUGGACAGAUGACUCUUCUGUGUCCAAAUCUCAGGCUUACAUGCUAUAUACUUUUGAAUCUGCUUUCCUCAGAAUGUGUCUUGUUAAGCUCUUUUAUUUAGAUGAGCUCCUUUAAUCUUGAUUUCCUCUCUGCAAGCCAAUGAGGACUAAAGCUACUUUCUUUUGGAUGCUCUCACUUGUAUGACCUUUGUCUUGAUUUGGAUUCCUCCAUACUUGCUCCCAAUUUGAGGGCUUGGAACUGCUGCAUGUUCUUUAACCUUUGUUUUAAUUUGCAUUCCUCCAUGCUUUCUCCCAUUUUGGGGGCUUGGAACUGCUACUUUUUCUUUAACCUACUAUCAAGGUCGGCUAUAACCAAAGAAUUUCUGGGUUCAAUUGGGAGAUGAGUUUAAUGAUGGAACACAGUCAGGGCAACCGGUGAAGAACGUUGCAUCCUUCCAUCAGUCCCUUUCCAAUGUUAUUUUCCUUUUCUGUGUUUAACUGUAGAAAGAAGAUGAUUUACCUUGUGUAGAAUAUUAUACCAUGUUGAACAGUCUCCUGUAACAUAUGAAGCACAGAUGUUUUAUAUUGAUAUCAGUGAUUGUAUUUUAUUCUUUUUCUUUCUUCA